UGUAUCAAACUCUGUUUUUUGGCCAUAAUUACAAUGGAAGUAUUUCUUGACAAAUAUAUUAGAACAAUUAAAUAAAUAAUAUAAUUCGAAGAAUAUCUGGGAACUGUUUGUCAGAAAACACAUACAUUGUAAUCAUAACUCUACUUGACAUGUUGUAAUGCUUGCAGUGAUUGCAGAAUAAAGAGUAGCCACUAUUGCUUCUUGAUACUUAAUUCUUUAUUCCACUUUCAGAUGGCGAAGUGAUAAGAAAACAAGUUAAAUGUCAUUGAUUCAGUUAUUCAUAUAAGUCACAUUUUUGCAAAAGUUGAAAAGUUAUUGUGAUCAACGAUUAUUCGAUAGAAAUGACGAGUAUUACAAUAUCGGCAGUUCGAACACGAACUAGUAUUCUUGACAAAUCAUUAAGUAAAGGCAAAGGAGAGGUUAGCUUAAGUUGUUUUGCCCUGUUAUUUUCAGAACUAGUACAGUACUGUCAAAAUCGAGUUUACACUGUACCAGAGUUACAAAAUAAAUUGGCAGAAUUAGGUGCAGAGGUUGGUCACAGAAUAACAGAUUUACUCGUUGUUCGAGAAAAAGGUGGAAAACGUGAGAUAAAACUAUUGAACAUCUUGUUGUUUAUUAAAAGUACAGUAUGGAAAUCAUUAUUUGGUCGGGAGGCUGACAAAUUAGAACAUGCAAAUGAUGAUGAACGUACUUAUUACAUCAUAGAAAAAGAAGCUUUAGUAAACAAGUUUAUAUCAGUUCCAAAAGAUAAAGGAAGUUUGAAUUGUGCCUCUUUUAUUGCUGGAAUAGUUGAAGCUAUUCUUUGUGACUGUGGUUUUACAGCAAAAGUAACUGCACACUGGCAUAAAGGAACAACGUAUAUGGUGAAAUUCGAUGAUGCAGUUGUUACUCGAGAUAAGCAGCUUGAAGAUCGAUAAUUUAAUAUCCGUUGGGAACCAUAGAAGUCAAAACAGUAGUGAAUCACGUAGUAGGGGAGAAUAUACAAUAUGGACAAAAGAGAUGCGCUCUUAACAGUCCAUUAGUAGUCCGUCGAGUCGACCUUAGCGCAACGUAUCUUCUGUUACGUUGCGAGUCAUACUUCCUCCUGACAAUUCUCUAACAAGUAUUUUAUAGAAUUGAUUCAGUAUAAAAAUCAU